rnacentral:rRNA from 1 species
AUUGAACGCUGGCGGCGUGCCUUACACAUGCAAGUCGAACGGUAACGGGCCUUCGGGUGCCGACGAGUGGCGAACGGGUGAGUAACAUAUCGGAACGUACCUUUCAGUGGGGGAUAACGUAGCGAAAGUUACGCUAAUACCGCAUAUUCUGUGCGCAGGAAAGCAGGGGACCUUCGGGCCUUGCGCUGAUUGAGCGGCCGAUAUCAGAUUAGCUAGUUGGUGAGGUAAAGGCUCACCAAGGCGACGAUCUGUAGCGGGUCUGAGAGGAUGAUCCGCCACACUGGAACUGAGACACGGUCCAGACUCCUACGGGAGGCAGCAGUGGGGAAUUUUGGACAAUGGGGGCAACCCUGAUCCAGCCAUGCCGCGUGAGUGAAGAAGGCCUUCGGGUUGUAAAGCUCUUUCGGCCGGGAAGAAAUCGUAUGGGCUAAUACCCAGUGCGGAUGACGGUACCGGCAUAAGAAGCACCGGCUAACUACGUGCCAGCAGCCGCCGUAAUAC